AGUCACAUGGUCUUCUUUUGUUGCCCUGCAUGCAGGAGAACAGAGCUGGAAAGCAGGUCUCUGACUGUUUUCCUGUUUCUUACGUUGAAAACUAACAGUAUGAAGAAUCUGGGCAGUUCUUGGUCCUUGCAGCUCAAUUUGCUUCAUGGCUGACACAUGAUAUUCCAAAUGAUGCACCUGCAUUUAGAUGUGUGGUAAGAGGGAAAGGUGCCCCUUGGUAAGCAUGCAAACCAGGUUUGACUAAAAUAUCUCUAGAUAUAUAUAGGAAAUCAAAGUAAAAUAGU